CCAUUUCUUAGCUAUGGAGAUAGGAUACAUUUCAUCAGAAUGCAUGUAGAACUAACUAUAGAAAACAUUAUGUUUCUUCUUGAGUCAACCACACUGUUCAAAUAUGUGCACAAUGAAUUUGCAAAUCACAAUGUACCCAAAUCCAAAAUAUUAUGAUUAUAUUAGUAAAUAAAAUAUCAUUUAUACCUUCCCACUUUCAAUAUCAAUGUACUUUAUACAUAAGACUGGAAAGAAUUUGAUUGCAUAAUGUCAAUUUCAUAGUUUGAACCAGUAUUUCCUUUGUGAAAUGGAGUUUACCUGCAAUUAUAGGCAUUUGCAACUUCCUUAUUUCUGUCAAAAUAAAUAAAGUAAUAAAAAGCCCUAUAGUUAUCUAGAGUAAGUAUAUUAAAUGUGACCAGAGCAAAACAUCUGUAAAUUCCCACCAGAUUCACUAACACAUGAGAAAAUCCACAAAAAUGUAUGAAAUUGAAUUUUGUUCCAACCUAUGAUAAACUGUUAUUCAUGGUUAAGUAUUCAUAAUAGUAGUCCAAAAACAAAUUUUCCAGCUUAAGGGCAAUAAUGCCCUGAGGCUCAUGUCAUAACACAGGAAUCUCUUUAACAAUGCAUUUACAAACACUAAGCUCAUUUACAAGUUCUCACAUCCUUAUUUUCAAUUUGGCAAUCUUUGAUUCUGAUAUGUAACACCCAAUUUUUAAAAAAGCAUUUCUCUCUCUUAUCGUAUAUAAAUAUGAGUGGUUUCAGUAUCCUAAUCCUAUUUUUUUCUAGAAUCUGUUUAUUCCUCUGUCCUUUCAUUUUCCUACACUUGUAUAGGAUGGCUAACAGUAACCCUUUUCUCUUAAACUCAAAUCUAUUCAUUAAAAAAAGGCCAAAAUCAUCGAGGAUGCAGAGGGAAAGGCUCACUCAUUGCUGGUGGGACUAAAAAUUGAUGCAGCCAAUCUGGAAAGCAGUAUGGAGAUUCUUUGGAAAACUUGGAAUGGAACCACCAUUUGACCCAGCUAUCCCACUCCUCAGUCUAUACCCAAGGGACUUAAAAAUAGCAUACUACAGGGAUACAGCCAUAUCAAUGUUUAUUGCAACACAAUUCACAAUAGCUAAAUUGUGGAACCAACCUAGAUGCCUUUCAGUAGAUGAAUGGAUAGGGAAAAUGUGCUAUAUAUACACAAUGGAAUAUCACUCCACAUUAAAAUUAGAGAACAAAAUAAUGGCAUUUUCAGGUAAAUGUAUGGAGUUGGAGAAUGUUACGCUAAGUGAAGUAAGCCAAUCCCAAAAACCCAAAAGCCAAAUGUUUCCUCUGAUAUAAGGAUGCUGACUCAUAUUGGGGAUGGGGUGGGGCAUGAGAGGAUUAGAUGAACUCUAG
rnacentral:lncRNA from 1 species